GGACAGUUGCACAACUUGUACCUGUGAUCAGACAAGUAACAUAUCUCCCACAAUGAAAGAAAUUCUCAGAUGACCUGAAUAUUGAGCAAUGACAUAAUUUUCCCACUUCAAAUUCGGUGUCUUGAGCAUGUGAACUUAUCAACUUAAUGCUUCAUAUUCGUAAACUCAUAUGAUGAAACCAAGCUAGUUGAUAACAUGAAAAAUGAUGGAAA
rnacentral:misc_RNA from 1 species